AACGAACGCUGGCGGCAGGCUUAACACAUGCAAGUCGAGCGCCCCGCAAGGGGAGCGGCAGACGGGUGAGUAACGCGUGGGAACAUGCCCAAAGGUACGGAACAACUCCGGGAAACUUGAGCUAAUACCGGAUGUGCCCUUCGGGGGAAAGAUUUAUCGCCAUUGGAGCGGCCCGCGUCUGAUUAGCUAGUUGGUGGGGUAAAGGCCCACCAAGGCGACGAUCAGUAGCUGGUCUGAGAGGAUGAUCAGCCACAUUGGGACUGAGACACGGCCCAAACUCCUACGGGAGGCAGCAGUGGGGAAUCUUGCGCAAUGGGCGAAAGCCUGACGCAGCCAUGCCGCGUGAAUGAUGAAGGUCUUAGGAUUGUAAAAUUCUUUCACCGGGGACGAUAAUGACGGUACCCGGAGAAGAAGCCCCGGCUAACUUCGUGCCAGCCGCCGCAGUAAUAC
rnacentral:rRNA from 1 species